rnacentral:rRNA from 1 species
GACGAACGCUGGCGGCGUGCUUAACACAUGCAAGUCGAACGGAAAGGCCCUGCUUGCAGGGUGCUCGAGUGGCGAACGGGUGAGUAACACGUGGGUGAUCUGCCCCUUACUUUGGGAUAAGCCUGGGAAACUGGGUCUAAUACUGGAUAGGACCAUGCUGUAGGUGGUGUGGUGGAAAGAUUAGUUUCGGUAAGGGAUGAGCUCGCGGCCUAUCAGCUUGUUGGUGGGGUAAUGGCCUACCAAGGCGUCGACGGGUAGCCGGCCUGAGAGGGUGGACGGCCACAUUGGGACUGAGAUACGGCCCAGACGCCUACGGGAGGCAGCAGUGGGGAAUAGUGCACAAUGGGAGCAAGCCUGAUGCAGCGACGCCGCGUGGGGGAUGACGGCCUUCGGGUUGUAAACUCCUUUCAGCCAUGACGAAGCCCUUGUGGUGACGGUAGUGGUAGAAGAAGCACCGGCUAACUACGUG